CCCACUUGCCUCCCGAGAGGUCCUUGAUUAUCCCUCCCGCGGCCCCGCUGCCGUGAGCCUGGACCCUUUCCUUUUGCCCGAGGAUCCUCGUGCCUGUCCCCAGGCACAGCACAUCCACAAGCCGACCCGCCACCGAACAGCUGGCAGUGCCCUAUAAACAACUGGUGUGCGAAAGCCACAGCCACUGCAGCAUGUCACAGCAGAGCAGCAGGAGACAGCAAAGCCUUGCCAGGGACAGGGGCUGGGAAGCAGGAGAUGUGUUGGAGGUGGGUACAACCUGGCCAAGACAUCUCUCUGGUGAUGCAGUUCCAGCUGCAUUCAGCGCUUCAGUCUAUGGACGUGGAUGUUUCCUGCCUGCCCUACAGGUGCAGGAGCUGUCCCGUGCCCGCAGAGACAAUUAAGCUAGCUCAGAGCAAGCACCACAGCACAGUGACAUUUGCACUGGCUCCUCCUGGGCCUGCUUGGGUCUGGAAGCAAUCUGGUUGGGUUUAUUAGCUUGGGCCUGGUUCCAAGCAAAUGCAGGCUGAGCCACGAUGUGCAGCUUUGCACCAGAGAGCUGUGCUAGCCCACACUUUUCUGGCUCAGAGAUGUUUCCACCCUCCUGCCCUACACGCUGCUGUCAGCACAGGUGCAGCACAGCAGGUCUGUAACACACCAGGACAGCUUGAAGAUAGGAGAGACUCAGAGUCAGCCCUGAUUUACAUGGGUGUAAAUCAUACAGACAUCUGGCUGGAAAUCCUGCUUGUUCACAGCAAACCUAAAGGAGAGGCUUGGGAGAUUUAGCACAAGGAGGAGGGACAGCUACUGAACUGGCAUCUUGCUACACCCCUCCUGAGGAGAGUCCCGCAGCGAGAUGAGAGAUGUUCAUCUUCCUGUAGCACAGAUGCUGCACGGAGUGCCUCACUCACAGUUUUAUCCAACCCCCAAUAACGAGUGCCACGCUGCAGUGUACAGAGUACAGGAAUGGUCAGGACAGCAGGGCAUGACUUUUUCUUGGCAAAUGCUAUGAAUGUUGUGGAUUUAGUGGGAGGGAAGCAACUCUCAAUAAAAGACACAAGAUCUUGAGAUAGAACAAGUAGUUCUGGGAGAAGCAGUACUAAUGACUCUCAUUUGCAAUGCCUCUCCUCAUUCCUGCCUAGCAUGGAUGACCUGAGGUCUACCAAGCAAGGAACUUGCCAGCCUUUCCCCUCAGUAAUGGCAGUAAUAGGGAAUUUUUCUUCUGUAAGACCGUGUCUUAAAUAGUCAGAAGUUAAUAGCUGUCUGUCAAAUGUGGUUGAAAAUUGGUAAACUUCCUCUGAAUAUCUUAGUGGGAACAAGAAGCUACAAAAAGGGAGAAAACCCCCACCUUACCUCUAUGGGAAACAAAACUGAAUAUCAACUAGCUGGCACAAACACUGAAUUGGAUGGUAAUAUCCUGGGAUUUAUGAAAACAAAGUAAAUAUUUUCAGUGUACGUUAUCACACCACCUCUUAGUGCUCUGCUAACCUAUGUUCCCAUCCCCCAGUCCCAUCCAUCCAUGGGGCCCUCAGGACCAAGCUGUUCUUUUUCUUUGAUUUGGAAAUGCUAAAGGCACCUGGCAGUUCUACCACAAGCAGUAAUUAUUUAAGACAGAAAUACACCAUGGCGACGGCCUAAACCUCAGUUGACAUGAAGAGGCAGUAAAAUUUACAGAGGGAAAUAUUAUUCCAGAACACAGUGUAACCAGAGAAAUCCCACUGCUUCCAGUGCAGGAAAUAAAUAGCAUUUAGGUGGAUCCUGAAUGUGGGCUCAUCUUGUGCAAAUGAUUACAGCUAUAUUGAUACAUGCUGCCCAAAUAUCUAGAGGCAGUUUCUUAGAAAACAGGGAGUUUUGGAUAUAUUAUGUGCCUUCCUGGAGGGAUUUUCUUUUGUGGUUAGGGAUGUUCCCACAGCCAGCAGGGAGAAGCUCGUUAACCCUCAUCACUGCAUUCUGUACCUGAAGUCGUGUGUGUCCUGCUCUGAACCGCUGCUGCUUUCUUUUUAUCACCAAUACCCAGAACUUUCUGCAGAAUACCGGCAGGUGCCGCCACUGGCUCAGCAAUCGCCCAGAGCUGGGCUGUUCCAUGGGCAGGAGCGGGCACGGAGCCUCCUCCAUGUGCUGGGCACCCUCUACAAGCCAGGAAAGGUUUGGGCUGAAGCACAUCACAGCUCCAAGCUCCAGCAGCACAGAGGGUAUAGGCCCUUCACACCGAGAUUGAUUUCUCCGUGGCAGAUCGUGUCACAGAAAUGCAGACCCCAUGGCUCAAGCUGCAGGUCUCCCCAGAUUCCUCCCUCAGGAAAUGAGGCCCCGUGGACUCAAAGCUGUGCUCACAGCGCAGUUUCCUCAAGUUCCAGUAAGGCAUUUGGCAGCUGCCCUGUCUUUAGUGGGACUGUGCAGCUGGGGAUGCCCAGCUCUGGCCCUGAGCAAGAGAAACAGGUGGAGGAUGGACACUCUUCCAGACCUGGAUGUGUCUGAUAGAGAUUUGACGCCUAGCGCUGUUGGAAAACAACGACUUGGUCCCUCUGGCAAGUGCACAGAUGUGGAGGAACAAGUGCUGGGAGAAACAGAUGCUCCUUGAAUAACUGUACUAAUGCAAGAGUUAAGUAGUCCCUUUUCUCGCCCUACUGAAUCAGAAGACAUUUCAUAUUUUGGUUCUGGAACAAAGGUCAAGCAAGUGCAAUUGUGGCUGCCGAGACUAUUCCAUGCCCUGGGUCACCACGACUUUGCUGUUUGCACGAGCUGUACAGCACACUCUGAUUCACCCAAUGUUGUCACUGCCACCCACCAUAGAUGGGUGUCUCCCUUCUUGUGUCCUUGGGAAAACCAGUCAUUGGCCUCUCUCCCCCAUGACAGCAAUAGUCUGCCCUUAGGAAAGUGGGGGGAAGAUUUCUCUGUAUUAGCCUUCUUGUUCAACAUUCCUGGCUGCCAAGGGCCGUGGUUGUUGGUCAUGGCAUGGCCCACACUUAGGACACUGCUCUUCUCUCUGUUGAUGAUGUCACCAUCAGCAAAGCAAACCUCUCCGCUGAGGCAGACAGGCCAUCUUCAGUCCCUGAAGCUAGUCCCUGCUUCAUUCUGAGGCACAUAUGAAAGGUGGGGUUGCAAUUUGGUAUAAAAAACAUCCAGAGGAAUGAAACUGCUCACCUGAAUAUCCUCUCACCAGGUCAAGUGGGCAAGACACAGGUGCUGAGUUUAUUAGAGACUUGCCCAUCUGCCCAUUCACUCCUAGUCUAGCUUGGGCCAGAGUGAAAUUGUACCAGUAAGGAGAACAAGUUUUAAAAAGUUUGAUACAUUUUCCCUGCUGACACCAGCCAUGAUCAGAUCAUUGCCAUGACAGUGUUUUUAGGACUUACAGGUGCUUUUGCAGAUGCCCAGCAACCUCCUUGCUCUGAACUGUCCCUGUGCUCACAGCUGCUCAGGCAGAGACACAGUUUCCUGCCUCUGGAUACACAGGAGGACAGUGAGAGAUCCUCUGUGAGAGGAGGGGGGAAAGGACACUGCAUGAAGGAGACUCCAGUUCACCAAAUGCAGCCUUCAAAGCUCUUUACCUUUGCCAGGAAGCGACGGCGGUAACCGGCCGCCGCACAAACCGGAUCUUCGAGAAACAGAGCAGCUGAAACCUCCCGUUCCCCCGGCAGUUCUGUGGGAGGAGAGGAAUGAGGCUGAACGGAUGCAGUUAAGAAACUGCAAGAAACAACCAUCAUCUCCAAAAGCCACUGUAACACUACAGAUCCCUCCUGCCUCUCCAGUUAAUUGGCAGAUCAUUCCUGUGAACUUUGAGGAAAACACCUCUAAAGAAGGGUCCAACCAGGCUCCAUUCAGGAUGUGGUUGUUUACACCUGCAGUCAGUUUCCUCAGACAUUCAUCUGUACUAUUUCUCUGCAUCAAUCCAUAAAUAGAUCUCUCACAUCAUGUAUACACAACACAGGUAGUAAAAUAAACUUCAGUCAUAAACAAACAAACAAACAAAACCCCCUCAGAACAGCACAACUUAAGAAUGUUCAGCUUGUAAAAUCCAGUCCUUGGCAUUGGGAUGUGCCAGGACUAGAAUGGCUGGUACAAACUUGACUCAUGCCUACUCUAAAUGAGUUACAGAACUGGAGUUAUAACAUGACCGCCAGUUAUUUUGCCUAGGGUUCCAUAUAUUCAAUGCACUGAAGCCAGUGAUUGCUGAAUGAACAGCUAGUCACUCUUCUUUCUAUUUUCUCUUCAUUGGCACAGCGUCUGGGCCACACAGUGAAUGUAUUUACUGAACACCAGCCAAGCCCUGUGCAGAAUACAGAAUUAUUCAUUUACUCCAGGGCAUUUCUUUGGUGUCCAUCACUGCAGCAGCCUGAUUUGGACACCAACAUUUCAUUAUCACCACUGGAGGUGAGGGAGGGUGGGGUUAGGCUAAAUCCCGUUUUACAACAGGGGCCCAGAAACCAAAAUCUUCAGUUUGAGUGCUAAACUUGUGACAGAGAUCGACUGCUUCCCUCAACCUUUGCUCCAGGUUAUUUAGCAUUUCCCAUCAUUAUCUAUGGUAAAACUAAUUUCCAGUUCCAUUAGUUAAAUUCAACCCUUGGUGUCCCAAACACAACAUGCAGAAUCUGGGAGGCUUGAAAAGUGGCCACCUGUGAAGAGCUGAAGUGCUGCACAGGAUCUCUGUGCAAAGCACAAAAAAGACAAACCCAUAUUUCCCUGGGAAUGUUCAGCUUGCACUAAUUACAAGAGUGGACUUUCUAAAAUACAUUGUGGUUGCUAAUAAACCUUUCCCAGAACUAACAGCAAGUGUGUGCAAAGACAAAAGCCCCUCAGUACCCAACUUUGAGAUGCAGCCAUGCUCAACCCAAAACUUUUACCACCCCUGACAAGGCCCACAGCCUGGACCUGCUGUGAGCAGUGACCUCUGGAGUGAGCAGACAGGAAACCUGUGCCUUGCAGAGCUACUGCCCCAUCUCCCUGCUCCUCAGAGCUUGCCCUGGAGGUGGGCACAGACUCUGUCUCUUGAGCUGAAACUUCAAACACUAGUGGAAUUUGCUUAGCAAGAGCAGAGAAGGGUGCUUACACAGAACCCUCAACAAUCUUUGACUCAGGCAGUUGUAUAUUUCCAUUCCUAAUUCCUGCAAAAUUCCUCCAGGGCUCUUGUCAUAUCUUUUCAGACAAGAUUCAGUUAUAUACAACAGCCAACCCCAGCUGUGUAUUUUAGGAGUCAGAUUUAAAAGUAGAGUUAUUCAAGAAGUGAAAGGCAAAGCCUGUCAUUUUUUGUGUGUUUUGGGCAGGGGUAGAGAGGAACUCAGAGUACACUCAGCACUGGUUCCUUUGAUGAUUGCAUGAGUACAUACAUGUGGCUUAGGCCAGAGUUUUCUCUGCAAUUCUUACUGUAGGAACUGACUCUUUAGGGAGACAGAAAAAGAAACUGAAGAGGAAAUUCCUGUGCCAUCACCAUUUAUUCGAUGAAUCAGCUUGCACAUUCAACAGGGAACUAUUCCCACUUGAAUUUGUGUUUUGUUCUCAUGGCAGGCUCCAGAGACCCCAUGUUCAUCUGUCUCCCGACUGACUAGCUCUACUGUAGUCCCAAGAUUUUUUUAAGGACAGAAAGGUGAGAUCUUCUCCAAGUUAUUUCUUUGUUUUCUGAAAUCUGAGCAUGGUGCAGGUUUUGCUCCCUCAGACACGAGGAAGCUGCACUGUUUGUUUAUUCUGCACCAUUUGUGGCCAGUCUGCCAGAUGCAAAUCUCUACCAUGAGUCUGCAGCAAAGGAAAGCAACAUUCUACAUCCCCUUACAACACAAGAGCUUGGCAAACCACAUUCCAGGCCUGUCCACAGCACCCAAAUGCAUUUAAUCCACACAGCAAAUACAGUAACACAGUACUGGUGAUGGAAAAUAUCAAAGACCACAGAGGGAGGAGGGUAUGGGGAUAGUGGGGAGGACUCUCAACUUGCAGUGUAGUGCCUGUGAUGAUUCCACACAGACUUUCAGUGUUUUAUUGCAUCUUUGGGGAGAGGUGGUGAUGGGAACGUGGCUGCCAUCGGUGUGUGAAGCGCUGCAGCUACAACACACCUGCUUGAACAGGGAAAGCACUGCGAGCUGCCACCAUUCAUCCCCCAGGAAAGGGGAGAGCACUGUGUGUGGCAAAGCACCUCCACAGCCAGAGGUGCUCCUGAGGCCACUUCCUAUGGAUUCCAUACCUCCACCCACCCCCCAGUGCACCAGGCCCUCCCCAGGCAGAGCCACGUGCAGGGGCUGGGGAGGCCUGGCAAGCUCAGAGCCCGCAGACUGCACCACUUGCCUGUGACUGAACAGGUACCAGAGCAUCCAUCAGCAGGGGCCUGGCACGUCCCUGGCUGCCCUGGGAGCCGCAGGAGCUGGGUGGGAGGUGGGAAGAUGGCUGCUGCAGGACACCGAGCACAGCACACACAAUGGAGCCUCUGUUCAAAGCACGCAGCAACAGAAUCGAAACCACUUCAUUUCAAGGGGCAUUCAGGCCUGGAGCCGCAGCUGGCACCAGGACAACUCUCCAGAGUGGCAGAGCUCCUGUUGAGGGAGUGAGUCCUGCCUGCCUCCCCUGGAUACAGCAGUGUGCAAGGGCUUCAAGGACCAGUGCCUCUGCAUUUGUCCACCCCCAGUCUGAAUUUUCAAAGCUGUAUCUCAGAAAAUGAAGCAAGAUAGGUUUUUUCCAGAUUUAUAACUGAAUGCUCAGGAGCUUAAGCCUCUAUUUCAUUACUCCACUGUAACAGGAACAGGGAUGUGAACCAUCCAGCACGUACCUCUCCAGAGCUGCAGUGGCUAUUAUUUCAGGUGCUCUUGACUGCAGUUCACUUGUGGGAGAGGCAGCUUGUUCACAAGGUUACCAGAAUACUGUUUCACCUGUGCAUGCAGCAGGCAAUCCAGCAACAAGAUGCAGCUCAGCUUUGAGAUGAUUAAACAGAUGAAAAAUAUCAGGCUUAGGGGAUCCAGUUCAGUUGCAGCUACACAAAAAACACCUGUAAAAAGGCUUUUUUUCCUCAGUACCCAGAAUGCAGAAUUGAACUCAGGAGACUCUUCCCCUGCCUCACAGAGGCUUCACAGACUGAUUCUUAUGUUAAGACAAAAGUAUACAAAAGGACUUGAAACACCACCAGUUUGCCAGGGGAAUAGAAUUAUUCCCAAAGCCAAAACCAGAGUAAGAUGUUAUCAGUUACUCAACUUCAAAGGGCAACCAACAUACACUUUAUGUUCUUGUACACUGAUUCACAGGCAUGAGAUAUUGUUAAAGAUGCACUUUUAAGUUAAGGCUUAAAAAAAAAAAAGUCUUCAGCUCUUUAAAUAUUAGAGCUGGUAAAGAAACCACAAAGCAAUGAGCUUUUGAAAGGUUUUUUGUCAUAGGGAGAAUGCCAUGAAUCACACACACAUUAGCAGAUAUGUGCAAAUCUCUGCUGCAACACAAGGACAGACCUGAACCACCUUGCCAUCAAAAAGUCACCUACAUUUUAAGCCCGUUGUUCAGAAGUGUAACACUUAAAUAGAACUUGCAGCUUAUGGCUGUGGGAGUGUUGCAGAAAAUACCACAGCAAUAAAAAAAAAAUACUGCACCUGUUCAAAAGUGUGGAAAAACUUACUUGAAACUUCCAUCUGCUGUAUUUGGGUUAGCAGUUACACCCGAGGUACCAGCUGAAGCACCAAGCGCACAUUGCAAUGCCAAAAAAUAUGCAAAUUAAAUUAUUUAAUAAGUCAGAGAGGCAAGAGGCUUCUACCUGUCAAGCAUGGGGAUGUUUUAGCUUAACCUUUAAACAUUGUGACAGGCUAUCCAUCACCUAACUGUGUUUGCUAUGGGCCAUCUCAAUGCAAAAAGAAAAUAUAAUUCUCAUUUCCACUACAAAAUCUAACAUCUGCAGUGUCUGCAUUACAAAAAAAUUACCUCUCUGUACUCAAGAAAGCAAUAUGCAUUUCUCACUGGAGAUUCAGGGGUUUCUCUUUUACCCAAACCUUACAGACACCCUAUUACUACACAGGCACAUCACACCAACAUAACACCAUGGCCAUCCUCAAAUCUUGGGUUCUCUAUUUUAAAAAAAACAACAAAAAACACAACAAAAACCAUAGGAUUAACAGCACUGAAGGAAAAUGAUACUUUUGUUUCCCCUUAUCAAACUAAAUUCAUUUGCAAGACCAUUAGCUUACUGUUCUCAUCUUCAUAUUUCACACAUUUUCCAAUAUAGGUAUCACAGUAACUGAAGUCUGUCUAAAAACUGAGUAGUUAAUUUUCAAAUUAUUUAGAUAGGUUUUCAGGUAAAAAGCUUUAAAAAAAUAGUGUUUUUCACCAGAAUCUACCAAUAUUGUAUACCAUUUUGAAAAAUUUGAAUGUGCUCCAAACAUCCUUCCUACAGAUCAGAACUUGGUUUGCUAAGUCACCUUAAAGAUAAAAUCUGAGCUGCUCACUUUCCAGGCAAUAUUUGUGUGCUAAUAAUGCCUUUCUGCACACCCAUUUUACUCUGAAGGAGUAUUUCCAGCUUACAGAGGAGCAGCAUGUUUUAUUCCUGGGCACAUCUGUUUCCUACACUUAAACUACACUCUUGAUCUAGAAGUGUUAUCAACUAAAUUUAUGAAGCACUUAAGCACUAAGUAUCUAUGUGAAUCUCUCCUCAGCCCCCUAACAGAAGAGAGUAGGGAAAGAACAGAGUGUGAAAAAUAAUGAAAGAUCUAAGUGUCAAAAUAACUCUGGCAAUCUUAAAUGUCGUAGUCUUACCUAGAAUGAAGAACUGGCACUUUCUCAUUUGUAAGUGACAUUAAAAGAAGGCAAGAUGAAUUUUACAAGUUUUAUUAUACAAAAAAUGAUCCAAACCCACAAGAACUCUUCUACAGUUCUAAAAGUUUUGUUCUGCAACUUAUACAUCCAUAUGCUUUUCCAAAAAGCCAAGGUAAAAAGCCUCAUUAGUCCCACUUUCUUCUUAGCAAGUCUUGAAAAAAACAACCAUAGCUGCAUCACAAUUUAUUCUUUGUAGUCCAGGAAUUGCUGAAAUCUUUUCUUAUGUUCUGUAGACACUUGUACAGCACUGGAAACAAAGGCAGAACAUUUUACAUUAGAAGAAAUACAGCACAAAAAUAAAGUCUCAUGUAAAAAUUGAGUGUACAUUGAAAUCAAUUACACUGAAGCUAAAUUUUAUGAAAAACCAUCUAUGUUCCAAGACAAAGAGCAUAUUAAUCCUUGAAACUGUCAAUUCUUAUUCUCAACAGCUUCUAAAAAAAUAUCUCUACCAAGUAACCUUGCCCAUUUCCUUACCUCUAAACAGCAACUGAUUAACUUGCAAGGUUGAUUUAGGUAAGAAAGAAUCUCCUAAAAUGAUCCCUCCUGUGCACUGAGCACUUCUAAUCUGAGGGACAUUUCAUCCCCAGAGGGAGAGAUGGGCAGAUACUACAGGAAGUUUCAGUCCCACAUAUUCUAAGGCCAAGUAUAGAAGUUUGCCUGCUGGGAGAGUGGCUGAGGAAGAGCUGUUGGACAAGCAGGCAGCAAUGGAAUUUCAUUAUUUAGACCCUUCAUAGGAUUUUCACCCUGCAGAACAAUUGUCUCUAGUUGAUUUAUUUUCUUUUCAGCAGCUCAGAUUUAUUAAACAAAUGGUAUUCAUGAACUGCUUCUAAAGAGUUCAUGAAAAGUCACUAAGAAAAAUUGCCCAGAAAUCUAUGAAUAAUAAAUUUUGAAGGGGGACCAUAUAUCUACACAGGAACUUUUUAAGGUUCCACAAAUCAAAAAAACCUAAAAUACCACAUUAUAAUAAUGACCAGAAGGGAUUUUCCCCCUAAAUUUUUGAUUUUCACAGAUCCUACAAUAACAUUAAACUAAAUUUAACAAGCAAGCAAUCAUGAGGAAGUUCUUACUUCAAGUGUUCUCCAAAGACAGUAGUUAUCCUGUACAGGGCUGUUUUCAGAGAUGCUCUAAGUGCAAAUCGUAGUGUUUUGUAGGAUGUGUCCACCAGGCUCCCUGAAAUCCGGGGAGGUUUGCUAGAAACAUGUGGCAGUUUGAAAUGUCUGUCUACAACCUGGUUGAGAAAAACAAACAGAUUCCUGUCACCUGAUCAAUUACCUCAUCAUGUAACUAGCGACAUGUUUGUGUCAAAUAAAGCAAAAACAAAGUGCAGGUUCAGAAAUUCCACCAAGACACACAAACAUGUUUUGGAGACUGAGCAUUUCCCAGCCAUCAACAGGAACACAGAACCAAGUUCUGUGAAAUAAGAUUCUCUGUUACUGAGUCUUGAACUAAGAACAUCACAUGCUGCAGGAGAAACACAAUUCUGUCCUGCAUUACGACUUGUUUCUUUCACAAACAAGGGCAUUGGCUUUUUUUCCCCAUGGUGCAUGUUCCUGGAAUAGAUGACUUACACUGGAGAACUUUAAUAACCUCUAAAUUCUUUCCAAGAACCUCCAUUAGGGCAGUGUGAAAUGGUUAUGUUACUAGGACAUGGAUAGCUUUGGAAAUAAAUCUGGAUUUUUUAAAACACACAUUACACAAACAUCAGUAAUUUGAGAGUAGUGUCUUACUAUUAGCAGAGACACAGAUUUUAUCUCUUGAGAUUUGCAAUGUCUCCAAGUGCUCCGUGUUGCACCAGGAAUUGUGUGCAACCAAAUAAAAAUUAAGUUCUAACUCUGCAAAAGAUACUGCAUUAGAAUUGCUGCAUCCCUGAAAUAAACUCUUCAACUGAGCACACAGUAGCAUUUCUUUAAAAUUAAACAUUGCAUAUUUUCUCCUUCCACAACUUAAAAAACCAGCAGGUUUUUUUUAUUCAGCUGUUUCAUAGUGUACAUAGUGGCAACCAGCUGUUUUGGUUAGAUUAACUGCAGAAGAGCUGUUUUAGUGGCAGCAACUUCAAUGUUAUGACUAGUCAGCAAGGUUUUUAUGUAAAUCAACAAAACUCCUUCUCCUCUCCUGAAGUUGCCUUGCAGCAAGGAAAAGUUAACAGUUUUACCUCCUGAAGAGUCAGGAGCGUGUUCAGGAUAGCUGGCAGUGUAGUCUGGACAACUCCAAACUGAUCUUCAGUGAAGGAGGCUGCUACCAAGUGAGACAGACCUUUUAAAAAAAUUAAUUUGUUGUAAUUACUGCUUCAAAAGGUGAGAAUUCAGUAUCAAAGAUCAUGUUGUUGCUUGAAGAUUCCACUAGUGUGCUGGACUUGCUGCUGCCAGCUGAAAGUCACCUCAGCUCUGGCUAAAGCACCAAACCACCCAUGGUUUGACAGGUGUAUAAUAGCUUGAGGUUGGUAAAGCAAGAGAGAUUAUAUUAAAAUUAUGUGUGAUUCCCAUCUCCAGACUCUAUACAUCCCAGCCAUCACUUUCAAUCUGACACAGCAUGGCACAUCUGCCCAUAAAACACAUCACCAAGGAGACUGAUCAACUUUGCACAGUCAAAUGUAAUAGAAGAGUCUAUCAAAAUCAGUAUUUACUCACGACUUUGAAAGAAACAAUAAAAAUCCAAAAUGUAAUUUCAUACUGUCAUUGGUCUAAUUCUCUGCAAACCAUCUUUUUGUUUAUUUGCUAAGUUAUUAUCUGAGUGCCUCCCAUAGCUCUGUGAUAAACAAAGAGCCAGAGCCUUUAGUCAGAAAAGCUGUUGUAAAAAGGCAUCAUAAAUCUGUCACUAGAAAAAAUGUAAAAGUGAUACAUGGGUUCACAUGAGAGAGAAGCACCAGAAAUCAAGUUUAGGAAUCUGUACAGAACAUAAAGUAAGAGAUCUCACAUGGGAUCUCAAAACUAACAAGUGAAUUAGACUUUAGUCAUGUUGGUGUCAGAAAUGCUGUUAUAUGUUUUUGUCAAAAGCAUAUCAAAGAUUUUUAUUGUUACAUUUAUAAAGCACAGAGCCCAGAGAGUUUUCCAUGAAGCAACAGAGUGGAUCACCUGGAAACCACUUACCUUCCAAAGCCCAGAUGUGCAUUUGGGCAUCACAGAAGACAGCCUGGAUGGAGGCUUCUGGGUGCUGAGAAAGAAACCAAAGUGUUAUGAUGAGUGCACUUUAUAAAUAAUAUUGCCAAAUUUGCAGCUUUCAGAACACACCUGCAAGGCAAACAGAUCUUGGGAAAUAGCCAGAAAAUUCUUUUUGGACAGGAACUGCCCACAAUGCUACAGCUGUAAUUGAGGAGAGAAAAAAAAAAAGGGAAAAAAGGAUAUACACUAGCUAGUUUUCAGGGAUAAGAAUGCUUUAAGUGAAAUGCAGUUUCUAAUCAGAUGAGUUUAAAAAAGCAUUCUUAUUUUCUGCAGGUAUGAAACAAUCCUGCUGUGAAACCCACAGCAAGCAAGAAGCUGUACUUAUGGAAAGCUUUAGAUGAAAAUACAGGUUUUAAAGCCAUUACCUGUGUCUCAAACACCCUUACCUUGCUGAAGAAAUACAUUAUCAACGCCCGUCUGGACAAGAAGUUUUUUAUCUGAAAAGAAACAGAAGAUUAAACAUGUCAUCUGCAUUUAUUUAAGGCAUGCACAGUUGGCCCUUCUCAACCCUUCCACCUUCACACAGCAUAAAGGCAUUGGGAGUGGAGGGAAGGAUUUGUGGUGUAUAAGCUAAGUAGAGAAGGAAUUAUUCAUUCCAUAAAGGGGAAAAUUCUUCCAGAGAGGUAUCACCUAAGCUGCACCCUCUAUGGACUGCAAUUUUACUCCACCUGUUCUUGCUUGUUCUGAAGCCAUGUGUAAAUAAAUCUUGGCUGCACUGCCUCACUGCCAGUUCUUGGAGCAGAGAGCACUGGGGAGGAUUCAUGGUGGGAACCAUUCAUUUGCUGAUCUGCAAGAAAAAAAAUACAGUAUCUCCAGAAAAACUAUUGCUGUCACUUUCAUCCUCACAAUGCAGCUCUCCAUUGACAAGGCUACUACACUCAUGGCUGUGAGGCUCAAGUGCUGUGGAAGAAUCUCUACCUGAAACCGACGUCCACAGCUUUGGUCCCCUUCUCAUGACGUGGGGACUCUGGACUGCUCCAUGCCAAGGAGACUUUCCAUCCACAACUCCCAUCUUGUAACUUAAAGCAGGAGAGCUGAAAGGUGAACCAACAUCAGAGCCAGGAGACGUCUUCACAGGCAUCAGGGAUGGCUUAACCAGGGGAGACAUGGAGGCUCUGAGAACAAUGUUGGACCUCUGUGACUGGAAUGACAUGUCUUCUAUCCCAACAGCU